GAAACCAACAGGGAUUGCCCUAGUAACGGCGAGUGAAGCGGCAACAGCUCAAAUUUGAAAUCUGGCGUCUUUGGCGUCCGAGUUGUAAUUUGCAGAGGGCGCUUUGGCAUUGGCAGCGGUCCAAGUUCCUUGGAACAGGACGUCACAGAGGGUGAGAAUCCCGUACGUGGUCGCUAGCCUUUACCGUGUAAAGCCCCUUCGACGAGUCGAGUUGUUUGGGAAUGCAGCUCUAAAUGGGAGGUAAAUUUCUUCUAAAGCUAAAUACUGGCCAGAGACCGAUAGCGCACAAGUAGAGUGAUCGAAAGAUGAAAAGCACUUUGGAAAGAGAGUUAAAAAGCACGUGAAAUUGUUGAAAGGGAAGCGCUUGCAGCCAGACUUGCCUGUAGUUGCUCAUCCGGGUUUCUACCCGGUGCACUCUUCUAUAGGCAGGCCAGCAUCAGUUUGGGCGGUUGGAUAAAGGUCUCUGUCAUGUACCUCCUUUCGGGGAGAACUUAUAGGGGAGACGACAUGCAACCAGCCUGGACUGAGGUCCGCGCAUCUGCUAGGAUGCUGGCGUAAUGGCUGUAAGCGGCCCGUCUUGAAACACGGACCAAGGAGUCUAACAUCUAUGCGAGUGUUUGGGUGUCAAGCCCGAGCGCGUAAUGAAAGUGAACGGAGGUGGGAACCUUUCGGGGUGCACCAUCGACCGAUCCUGAUGUCUUCGGAUGGAUUUGAGUAAGAGCAUAGCUGUUGGGACCCGAAAGAUGGUGAACUAUGCUUGAAUAGGGUGAAGCCAGAGGAAACUCUGGUGGAGGCUCGCAGCGGUUCUGACGUGCAAAUCGAUCGUCAAAUUUGGGCAUAGGGGCGAAAGACUAAUCGAACUAUCUA
rnacentral:rRNA from 1 species